rnacentral:rRNA from 1 species
AAGGGCACCACAAGAACGCGUGGAGCAUGUGGCUUAAUUUGACUCAACGCGGGAAAUCUUACCGGGUCCGGACACACUGAGGAUUGACAGACAAAUACACACACUUUUACGGUGUGUGCAUGAAAUAUGCUAGUUCUUUCAUGAUUAUGUGAUAGGUGGUGCAUGGCCGUUCUUAGUUCGUGGAGUGAUCUGUCUGCUUAAUUGCGUUCCACUAAAGGCACAUACACAUAAUAUUGAUGCGUUGUGUGUAUAAUUUAUAAUUAUACGCAUACACACAUAUUAUAUUGUGCUUUGAAAGCAACGAACGUGACCGCAACCUCUUGUUGCCUGUAUAUAUGUGUAUUUUAUACACACCACAGGCUAUUAUAAACUAGAGGGACCGCUGUUACUUUCUUUUAAACCAGAGGAAGGUUGCGGCAAUAACAGGUCUGUGAUGCCCUUAGAUGUUCCGGGCUGCACACGUGCUACAAUGAUCAUUGCAGUGCGCAUCUCAUUUGUUAUACACUGCUUGUGCGUAUGUGCACCAUAUAUUUAUAUGUGUGUGUAUGUAUUGCACGCAGUAAAGCCUACUUCGAAAGUUGUGGGUAAUCAAUUUGAAGUAAUGAUUUCUCCAAAUAUAUAUACUGCACACUCAUAUACAGUGUCUUAUGUCCAUGAAAAUUUUAUUAUUUUUGUGUGUGCAUUCGAUGCUCGUAUGUGCAAUUGUCAAUUCAUGGUGGGGACAGACCAUUGUUAAUUGUUGGUCUCGGUCUUAACUAGGAAUGCCUUGUACGGGUCUUUGGUUCAACAAACCACCCGGAAUACGUCCCUGCCCUUUGUACACACCGCCCGUCGCUCUUACCGAUGGACUUCUCUGUGAGUUUGAGGGACUGGAUUUUAUAUCUAUGGAAACUCAAACGAACAGUGUGGUCUAAAGGAAAGAGAAGUCGUAACAAGGCAUCGGUAGGUGAACCU